rnacentral:rRNA from 1 species
GACGAACGCUGGCGGCGUGCUUAACAUAUGCAAGUCGAACGGUGAUGCUCCAGCUUGCUGGAGUGGAUCAGUGGCGAACGGGUGAGUAACACGUGAGCAACCUGCCCCAGACUCUGGAAUAAGCGCUGGAAACGGCGUCUAAUACUGGAUACGAAACUGGCCCGCAUGGGCAUGGUUUGGAAAGUUUUUCGGUUUGGGAUGGGCUCGCGGCCUAUCAGCUUGUUGGUGAGGUAAUGGCUCACCAAGGCGACGACGGGUAGCCGGCCUGAGAGGGCGACCGGCCACACUGGGACUGAGACACGGCCCAGACUCCUACGGGAGGCAGCAGUGGGGAAUAUUGCACAAUGGGCGAAAGCCUGAUGCAGCGACGCCGCGUGAGGGAUGACGGCCUUCGGGUUGUAAACCUCUUUCAGCAGGGAAGAAGCGAAAGUGACGGUACCUGCAGAAGAAGCACCGGCUAACUACGUG